UUCCGGUUGAUCCCGCCGGAGGCUACCGCUAUUGGAGUUCGAUUAAGCCAUGCGAGUCGAGAGUCUUAGGGACUCGGCGUACCGCUCAGUAACACGUGGGUAACCUGCCCUAUGCUGGGGGAUAACCUCGGGAAACUGAGAAUAAUACCCCAUAGUUCACCACGCCUGGAACGGUGGGUGGAUGAAAGCUCCGGCGGCAUAGGAUGGGCCUGCGGCGUAUCAGGUUGUAGGGGGUGUAAUGUACCCUCUAGCCAUCUACGCGUACGGGUGUUGGGAGACAUCGCCCGGAGAUGGAUUCUGAGACACGAAUCCAGACCCUACGGGGUGCAGCAGGCGCGAAAACUUGGCAAUGCGAGCAAUCGUGACCAGGGAACUCCAAGUGCAUCGGGUAAGACCGAUGCUUUUCUUGACUCUUCAAAGGUCUUGGAAUAAGGGGUGGGUAAGGACGGUGCCAGCCGCCGCGGUAAUACCGGCGCCUCAAGUGGUAGUCGCUUUUAUUGGGCCUAAAACGUCCGUAGCCGGUUUGGUACAUUCGUGGGUAAAUCAAGGCGCUCAACGUCUUGAAUUCUGCGAGCACGGCCAGACUUGGGACCGGGUGAGGUGUGGGGUACUCUCAGGGUAGGGGUAAAAUCCUGUCAUCCUGAGAGGACCACCUGUUGCGAAGGCGCCACACUAGAACGGAUCCGACGGUCAGGGACGAAGCCUAGGGGCACGAACCGGAUUAGAUACCCGGGUAGUCCUAGGUGUAAACGCUGUGGACUUGAUGUUGGGAGUGCUCCGAGCACCCUCAGUGUCGAAGCGAAGGUGAUAAGUCCACUGCCUGGGGAGUACGGUCGCAAGGCUGAAACUUAAAGGAAUUGGCGGGGGAGCACUGCAACCUGAGGAUUGUGCGGUUUAAUUGGAUUCAACGCCGG
rnacentral:rRNA from 1 species